GGAGCCUUUUCCUGUGAGCCCCAAAUCUUCCGAUCCAGCUGCAAUGCAGAAGAAAAACAAAAGUUACAUGGAGGAAGGAUAGUUUACUGCUGUGACUGAGAAAAUGAUUAUUUCUGAGAGCUAAUUAAGUGACAGUUCCUGUGGAAAUCCUGUUCUGUUAGCCUAUGGAGGUGCCAGGUGCUGGAGUCUGGGGCUGCCCCACUGCCUACUGCCCAGCCCAGCUCUGCUGCCCCCAUACAGUGCCCCCACCAGUACCAGCCCCCGGUGGCACACUGACAAUGUGGAAACAGCAUAUUUCUUCCUUCAGUUAAAAGGCUCAGGUUUUACUAAACAUGACCGUUAUGAAGGGAUGGUCAGCCUGUCAGCUUUCUGGAGUUUAAAAAGCCCUUAAGGAUUGGAUUUGAUGACAUGGGAACAAAAAGCUCGUAUACAAGGAAAAUAUGGGAGGUUAUUUCUGAAAGUAACUUAAAAAAUAAGUCUGUGAGAAAAAGAGAUGCAAUGUUUUCUUAUUCCUGACUUUAUAUCUCAGCUUUAAAUUUGACUUUGGUAUAAACAUUAUUUCGAGAAAACAGGAAUGUAGUCAUUAUUCAGUGCUAACUCCUAAAGAGAACAUUCUAGAAAAGAACAGAAUGAAAAAAUCUCAUUAUAAUGACCAUGCCAUUUUGUUCUGUAUUAAUAUAUGGACUUCUUGCAACAAAACUCUCAACUGAAUUCAGCAACAGAUUAUAUGAACAGCAAUUUCUACUUUUGCAGGUUUUGUUUACAUUUUCAUUACACUUCUACUGUAUUAUCUGAUGUCUUGAUACAGUUUUCAAGCUCAUAGCUACUUUAAUCUGCUCUUGUGCUCAGCAUAUCUGAGUGAGCUUGUUGGCAUAAGGGAAUUUUGAAGGUUAUAUUGCAGUACAUGAAUCAACAGAAAAUGAAAUGCACUUGAGACAUGAUCAGCUAGUUUUAAUUCAUUGCGGAAAGUUAUAGAUACCAAAAUGCAUUUAAUGUAAUCUGAUAUCUUCAUUCAAACUUGAAUUUAUGAGCAAUUCAGUAGGAGAAGAAUGACAACUUUGUUUUAAAAAGAGUAGUUUAUAUUGAAUGCUAUUUUAGUAUAUCUCUGACAUAUUUACAUCUAACAAGUAGAGAAAAGUACAAUCUUUGAGCAUAAAUUUCUGUUUUCACACAAGAAAGCAGGGGAAUAAGAUUCUUUCAUUUCCUGCAGUAUGAUAUGUCAUUAUGAUGCAGUCAGCUUGAUGAUAAAUGUUAAAUCCUCUGCAUGUGCAGGCCAGUAAACAGAUUAGAAUACUGCUAGAUUGUUACUGUUGUAUUUUAAGAAUGAAAUAAAUAGAAUAAAUAAAAUUUAUAGAGCAGCAUGCACUGUUCUAUAUAAUGCAAGUUUGUGUCUGCAGAGUAAUUUGAUCCUAAAUAGCUGAAGGUUCAUAGCUCAGCAUAUUAACAAACAGGAGUCUAUAAUUAGUUACUUUCCAUAGAAAUGGACUAUAACCAUGCAUAAAUAUAGCUCAGGUGUGUUAUUAUUACACAGUAUUAUUUCAUUAGCAUAGUCCCAAAAUAACUAAUGGAUUAUAGUGUUAUGACAUUGUUUUGUUUACAUUUAUUUGGGAAAAAUACUGCUUUUUCCAUAGGAAGGACAAGUUAGUGCAGAUGAGAGAGGUUAGUUAAGAAACUUCUGAUUGUCAUGUUGAAAAUGUUGAUAGCAUUCAAAAAAAAUUAUAGCAAUGUUCCUAAAAAUUGCAUAUUUGUAAUUCUUGACUUUUUCCAUUUAUGGAGCCAAGAGAAAUCUGAUUUAAGAAAAAUGUGGUUACUUAGGCAUUUGCCUGUAAAUAGGCAUUAAAAAUCUUGUCUUUAUAUGAAUAAACUGAUAGUAAUCAAGUAUAUUGUAGUUCUUUCU